rnacentral:rRNA from 1 species
GACGAACGCUGGCGGCGUGCUUAACACAUGCAAGUCGAGCGGAAAGGCCCUUCGCGGUCCUCGAGCGGCGAACGGGCGAGUAACACGUUAGUAACCUGCUCCAGACUUUGGGAUAACCCUCGGAAACGGGGGCUAAUACCGUAAACGCCACAGCUAUGUAUGGGGGCAGGGUGGAAAGUUUUUCGGUGUGGGUUCGGCUCGUGGCCUAUCAGUUUGUGGGUGGGGUGCUGGCCUACCAAGGCGACGCCGGGUAGCCGGCCGGGGAGGGGGACCGGCCACACUGGGACUGCGACACGGCCCAGACUCCUACGGGCGGCAGCAGUGGAGAAUAUUGCGCAAUGGGCGGACGCCUGAUACAGCGACGCCGCGUGAGUGAUGACGGCCUUCGGGUUGUAAACAUCUUUCAGCAGAACCGAAGAGUAAGUGACGGUACCUGCAGAGAAAGCGCCGGCCAACUACGUG